AUUGAACGCUGGCGGCAUGCCUAACACAUGCAAGUCGAGCGAGGCGCGGACGGGUGAGUAAUGUAUGGGGACUGCCCGAUAGAGGGGGAUAACUACUGGAAACGGUGUCUAAUACCGCAUACUAUCGGAUAACCCAUAUUGGAUUAGCUAGUAGGUGGGGUAAAGGCUCACGUAGGCGACGCUCUCUAGCUGGUCUGAGAGGAUGAUCAGUCAAACUGGGACUGAGACACGGCCCCGACUCCUACGGAGGCAGCAGUGGGGAAUAUUGCACAAUGGGCGAAAGCCUGAUGCGGCCAUGCCGGGUGUAUGAAGAGGGCCUUAGGGUUGUAAAGUACGUUCAGCGGGGAGGCGUUACCCGCAGAAGAAGCACCGGCUAACUCCGUGCCAGCAGCCGCGGUAAUUC
rnacentral:rRNA from 1 species